GACGCCUCGCCCGCGAUGCGCUCGAAGAUGUCGUUGACGAACGAGUUCAUGAUGCCCAUGGCUUUGGACGAGAUGCCGGUGUCCGGGUGGACCUGCUUGAGUACCUUGUACACGUACACAGAGGGUAUAAAAAGCUGCACCACCACCACUUUCCAUUCUCCCCACGCGCUUUCACUGGAGGUUGUGUGCAGAGUACUUGUUGAAGUCGUUAUGUCUGGAAGAGGCAAGCAAGGAGGUAAGGCUCGUGCCAAGGCCAAGACCCGGUCGUCGCGGGCUGGUCUGCAGUUCCCCGUGGGCCGCGUGCACCGCCUGCUCCGCAAGGGCAACUACGCCGAGCGGGUCGGAGCCGGCGCGCCCGUGUACCUGGCGGCGGUGCUGGAGUACCUGACGGCCGAGAUCCUGGAGCUGGCGGGCAACGCCGCCCGCGACAACAAGAAGACGCGCAUCAUCCCGCGCCACCUGCAGCUGGCCAUCCGCAACGACGAGGAGCUCAACAAGCUGCUGGGCAAAGUCACCAUCGCGCAGGGCGGCGUCCUGCCCAACAUCCAGGCCGUGCUGCUGCCCAAGAAGACCGAGAGCCACCACAAGGCCAAAUGAGCAAGGACUUUUAAGUUACAAGAAUUACGGAACAAGACCAGACCUGAGACUUGUCACCUCUCCUGGCUCAACUUGAAAGUUAUUUUCAACUCUAUUCAUCUCCUUACUGGUGGAGCGCGUGGUUGGGGCAGGAGAAUGGUGGAGAAAGAUGGGCUCCGGUAACAGCUCAAAGAUCUCCAUCAUCCAAAAAGGACUUUCUCGCCCAGUUCCCGCCGCUGGAGCUCCAGGAAGAAUUCCAAGGACUUCCUUAGCCAGCUUCUACAGUAAUCUUCCUCUCACCGCGUGCUUCAUUCUCUAGGGGCUCACACGCUGCGCCUCCCGUAGCCCAAUCAUUCUCAAGUUCAACAAGCUUGGCGCACACUUCUUUUUAGACGCGGAACAAGGACAGCGUGCAAACAGGGUUUACUAAGACUGAGAGAGAACUUCUGAUAAGAACAGUUCAGAGGAAACAAAACCAGAGAGAAGAGGCUGGUACUUGAAACAAACCUGCAACCUGUGGUUAUGACCAUGCUCUAGCCCAGCUGAACUACCCAGCCAUUC